CGCUGAGACUCCAGCUCUCCACUGAAGAUCUUGAGGUUAUCCCUUCUCUUCUUUCAAAUAAGUCACCAACCAAGCAAACAAAUAUAAUCACACCAACAGUGCGGAUGUGGCUGUUACUCAUACCUCAAAUGACUUCAGUGGAGUCAAGUUGCUACUGAUAAAAAGAGAAAACAAAGUAGAGCCAUCGAGACUGACUCAUGUCUUGUUGUUCAAGAGGCCUACUGGCAAUAAUGCCACCUCCUACUUCCUCUACACCGACCCUCAAUCCUGCCUGUCUGUUUCGGUGACUGUCUUGCUUCGCUGACUGCAGCAGUAUCCACCACAGUACCAGCCAGACUUUCUUCCCUCUUCAAAUCCACAUCAGAGCAGCUUCAAGUCGAAGAUCCAGGAUAAGAACCAGCAUCACGGCCUAGGCCCUUCUCCUUGUAACUGUUGUUGGGCAGUUUCUGUGGGUUUGGGGUUCCCCCUCCCCCACCAUGCUAAGUCCACCUUCCU
rnacentral:lncRNA from 1 species